UCUGCCCUACACACUCUACAAGGUAACUCUGUCUGCCCUACGCACUUGACAAGGUAACUCUAUCUGCCGUACACACUCUACAAGGUAACUCUAUCUGCCCUACACACUCUACAAGGUAACUCUGUCUGCCCUACGCACUUGACAAGGUAACUCUAUCUGCCGUACACACUCUACAAGGUAACUCUAUCUGCCCUACACACUCUACAAGGUAACUCUAUCUGCCCUACACACUCUACAAGGUAACUCUAUCUGCCCUACACACUCUACAAGGUAACUCUAUCUGCCCUACACACUCUACAAGGUAACUCUAUCUGCCCUACACACUCUACAAGGUAACUCUAUCUGCCCUACACACUCUACAAGGUAACUCUAUCUGCCCUACACACUCUACAAGGUAACUCUAUCUGCCCUACACACUCUACAAGGUAACUCUAUCUGCCCUACACACUCUACAAGGUAACUCUAUCUGCCCUACACACUCUACAAGGUAACUCUAUCUGCCCUACACACUCUACAAGGUAACUCUAUCUGCCCUACACACUCUACAAGGUAACUCUAUCUGCCCUACACACUCUACAAGGUAACUCUAUCUGCCCUACACACUCUACAAGGUAACUCUAUCUGCCCUACACACUCUACAAGGUAACUCUAUCUGCCCUACACACUCUACAAGGUAACUCUAUCUGCCCUACACACUCUACAAGGUAACUCUAUCUGCCCUACACACUCUACAAGGUAACUCUAUCUACCCUACACACUCUACAAGGUAACUCUGUCUACAAGGUAACUCUGUCUACAAGGUAACUCUAUCUGCCCUACACACUCUACAAGGUAACUCUGUCUACAAGGUAACUCUAUCUACCCUACACACUCUACAAGGUAACUCUAUCUGCCCUACACACUCUACAAGGUAACUCUAUCUACCCUACACACUCUACAAGGUAACUCUGUCUACAAGGUAACUCUAUCUGCCCUACACACUCUACAAGGUAACUCUGUCUACAAGGUAACUCUAUCUACCCUACACACUCUACAAGGUAACUCUAUCUGCCCUACACACUCUACAAGGUAACUCUGUCUACAAGGUAACUCUAUCUACCCUACACACUCUACAAGGUAACUCUAUCUACCCUACACACUCUACAAGGUAACUCUAUCUACCCUACACUCUCUACAAGGUAACUCUAUCUGCAAGGUAACUCUAUCUGCCGUACACACUUUGUCUGUCUGCCCUAUGCACUCUACAAGAUAACUCUGUCUGUCUGUCUGUCUGUCUGUCUGUCUGUCUGUCUGUCUGUCUGUCUGUCUGUCUGUCUGUCU